rnacentral:rRNA from 1 species
UGGGGAAUAUUGGACAAUGGGGGCAACCCUGAACGAGCAACGCCGCGUGGAGGAUGACGGCCUUCGGGUUGUAAACUCCUUUUGCGGGGGACGACUAUGACUGUACCCCGCGAAUAAGGCUCGGCUAACUCUGUGCCAGCAGCCGCGGUAAGACAGAGGAGCCAAGCGUUGUCCGGAGUGACUGGGCGUAAAGCGCACGCAGGUGGUCGUGCACGUGGGGUGUGAAAGCGCUGGGCUUAACUCAGCGAGGCCACCUCAUACGGCGCGGCUGGAGCCCUGCAGAGGUCCAUGGAAUUGCCGGUGUAGUGGUGAAAUGCGUAGAGAUCGGCAGGAACACCCAGGGGGAAACCAGUGGACUGGGCAGGCGCUGACACUCAUGUGCGAAAGCGUGGGGAGCGAAC